UGUAAUAUAAUAAAUUAUUUAUUAUAGGGCGGACGUAGCCAAGUGGAUUAAGGC
rnacentral:tRNA from 1 species